UUARRARWKUUUAUCMUGGCUCAGGACGAACGCUGGCGGCGUGCCUAAUACAUGCAAGUCGAACGAACUCUGGUAUUGAUUGGUGCUUGCAUCAUGAUUUACAUUUGAGUGAGUGGCGAACUGGUGAGUAACACGUGGGAAACCUGCCCAGAAGCGGGGGAUAACACCUGGAAACAGAUGCUAAUACCGCAUAACAACUUGGACCGCAUGGUCCGAGUUUGAAAGAUGGCUUCGGCUAUCACUUUUGGAUGGUCCCGCGGCGUAUUAGCUAGAUGGUGRGGUAACGGCUCACCAUGGCAAUGAUACGUAGCCGACCUGAGAGGGUAAUCGGCCACAUUGGGACUGAGACACGGCCCAAACUCCUACGGGAGGCAGCAGUAGGGAAUCUUCCACAAUGGACGAAAGUCUGAUGGAGCAACGCCGCGUGAGUGAAGAAGGGUUUCGGCUCGUAAAACUCUGUUGUUAAAGAAGAACAUAUCUGAGAGUAACUGUUCAGGUAUUGACGGUAUUUAACCAGAAAGCCACGGCUAACUACGUGCCAGCAGCCGCGGUAAUACGUAGGUGGCAAGCGUUGUCCGGAUUUAUUGGGCGUAAAGCGAGCGCAGGCGGUUUUUUAAGUCUGAUGUGAAAGCCUUCGGCUCAACCGAAGAAGUGCAUCGGAAACUGGGAAACUUGAGUGCAGAAGAGGACAGUGGAACUCCAUGUGUAGCGGUGAAAUGCGUAGAUAUAUGGAAGAACACCAGUGGCGAAGGCGGCUGUCGGUCUGUAACKACGCKAGGYCGAAAGKAGG
rnacentral:rRNA from 1 species